UGAUAAUAGAUCCAUAGCAAUGCACUGGGGCGAAUAAACGAGCGCACAAUAGGCGGGAAAAUUUGAAUAGCUGAAGGGCAGGCGAUAGUGAUACAGGCUUACAAAGGAAUGCAAGCCGUGAAUACGGGGCACACCACGGCAUCAUCAUCACGUGCACCAACAACAACAACGCUUAGAAAGGCUUCAACGAUAGCUGAAUUUAAACUGCUGGAAGGUUUUCCCCACAAGAUAUCCACAGAUUUUCUCUCCUUAUAUUACAGCGUAUGAGAGGAAAGGAGGGAAAAUGCAGGAAGGGAUUUCAUACAUUAUUCUGGCGAUAACCAGAUAUACCUGGUUUUACUGGACAAAUAGGCCUAGGAUAAAUAGGAUCCAGCAGAAAAUGAGGAACAGGAAAUCCACCAGGGACCCAAGCGGCCACCAGGAAACAUUGAUGCAUCAGCACAAGAAUUAACCUUAUGUCGACCAAGUCUUCCACUCCACAUCAGGGCUCAAAUUACGACUGACUGUUGCCCAAUGCAUGCCGAAUCACAAUUUUAAUAGGGCUACGCUAGAGUAUAAUACAGUAUAUACAUCGCCACCCAUGUGGCCUGGUCAACACGGAUUGGGGCAGGUUUUCACCAGGAGAUGAUGGCGGGUCAGGUGGAUAGGAGAAUGUUGCUUCAAAUGCGUCCUCGUGAGGCUUUCCUACGGUGAGAUAGGUCUGACGUCCAUCGCGGUUCGCCGGCCAAGUCUGUUUCCAACUUGAGAGAGCCUACAACACGCAGGAUCACCACUGGAAGGUAGGUGUGGCAGUGUACUUCGGUCGACGAUGCAGAUACGAUGGCCUUUACGACUGGAAAGUUCCCCCAAUGCAGAGCAAGAAUUAAUCUGGCGUCGACCAAGACUUCAAGAUUUGCUGGUGGUCAACGAUCUGUGAGCACCUCAUGCAACACGGGCCAAAAACUUGGAGUGGAACAGGCUUACGUUCGAGUAGGUCAGCGAGGAAAAGAACAGGUUUUUAUUAGGAGAUGGUGGCGGGUCAGGUGGAUAGGAGAAUAUUGCUUGGAUUGGAAGGCAUCCGCAUGGGGUUAUCUUCCGGUGAGAUGAGGUCUGAUGCCUCUCUGCUGAUUAUUCAAUUCGAUUUGCCGUUUGAAUGCGAGGACCCAGUUUUACUAUGAGAAGGAUCGAGGAGGAUGUGGAUAACGGACUCCGGUCGAUGGCCAUGCCGAUCCCCAUGGUUGGAAGGUUCACCCGAUGCAGUCUCGUCAUGGUGAGGGGUGAUCAAAGAUCCAGUUGGUCUUCUGUAUGUCUUCCGCUGGCCCGAGCCCAGGGACUUUACGUUUUGACUAGGGGCGGAUCCAGGAUUUUCCAAAAGGGGGGACAAAUUUUUCGGAGGAAAAUUUUUGCAAGCCCUCCCCCCCAAAAAAAAAAAAUUAAAAAUAGUUCGUAUACACAAAAAAAAAUUGACAAGAAAGAAAAAUGGUCUUAAAUUUCAGAAGAGGGGGCAAACCUCUGUUUUAAUGGCAUUUUUACAUUACAAAUUUUAAUUUUGCUUCUCAAAGGGGGGCACGUGCCCCCUAUGCCCCCCUUGAUCCGCGCCUGGUUAUGACCAAUAUGACCAACAUCAUCUUGAACUAGGUCGACCAAGACCUUCCUCGCAUAAACGACAACGCUAAUUACCCCUUCCCAUGAUCUGUUUUGGGUUUUCAUGGCGUUAUUCAGAUAAAAAUAACGUAAUACUGGGUCCCGUCUUACAAAGAGUUACGAUCAAUCGUAACUCUAUGGAAAUCCAUCAAUGUCGUAUUUUUUUCUACAGGAAAUUUGCAAAAUGUCCUUUGUAAACAAAGGAGAACACACCAAAUUGUCAAUAAAUCAAUGAAUUUAUGGAUAUACAUUCAUAUCUAGAUUUUUUUGAACAGACAUGCCUUUCAUAAUGUUGACUUUGCUGGCUUUCCACAGUUUCGAUUGUAAGACGGGACCCUGGUGAAAAACUAUAGGUAACACAACCUUUGCCGACUACCUUGAGUAGGGAAUGUUUGUAUUUUACACAUUUACUGUAUUUGAAUUCUCAACUGGUUUCUGUUUAAUUUGCGGGGUGUUCCCAUGCAUGCUGUGACAUAAAGUCCCUGAAUUUCUCAAGGAAGAGGCUGUAUAAUGUCAUCAUGUCAAACAUAAUAAUAAUGAUUGUUUAAUGCUUCAUUAGGAUUUUAGCAGAUAUACCGCAUGCGGUCCAUGGCGAUGAAAAAAUGAAUUGAAUAACUGAUUGUUGAAGAAAUAUGCCUUUGGAGGCUGUUAAAAUGACAUUGUCUUCUAAAGCUCUAACGCUUUGCUUCCUUGCACUGUUCUCUCGAAAUCUCAUUAUUUCACACUCCUAUUUAUUCCUUAUAAAACUGCCUUUUCAUAGGUCUAUUCGGGGUUCAGUAUAGCAGCGUUUAUAAAUCCGAGGGCAGCAUGCAGUUUGAGUGGGCAGAAUUUUUUUUUGAUGAAGAUGAAUAUGGGGCCUGAUAUUUAUAAUACAAAAGCUAAAUGCAUUUGGCCAAAAAUGAAGCUUGGGGUUUGAAUUCCAUGAAUUCCACAUCUUUUUUUUUUUGCUCAGAUGCCUCGCUCACUCAUCUAAUCUUAUAAUAUUUUUACAAAACUUGUUGGUUAAAAGGUUCAACAUUAAUUCGGUUACUUACGAAAGGAAUAUGCUUUGAAUAUUUGUCAUUUCUUAAACGAAACAGCAUAGCCGGUGGAAGUGGGGAGUGGGGCAGGAUCAUUCCAAAACAGGUAUAAAGGUGUGGGGAGAAACACGCAUAUUCUGUGGAAAGUUCUGAUCACAUACGUGAUCGUAGAACUUCCCCCUCCUCCAAAAAAUGUGAAAGCUCGCAUUUUUCCGUUCAAAAUUUAUCUGAAUUAAAAAUAAACGUUACGCGCCUUUUCAUUUUAUAUGUGGCCUUAGCGGCCGCCAAAAUCUUAAUGCGAAGGAACAAGCACCCGUUUUUUGUAAAUAGUAGGCCUAUAUAAAUAUUUAAAAUGCAAAAGAAUAUUACAUUGUAAAGUUUGCAUGAAAGUGGCUCCAAUGGUGACAUGUGUCUAAUAAAUUCAUAGCCAUUGUGCUCUAUGCCCAUAAAACUAACAAAACAUACACUGAAAUUGAAAGGUAAAGAUGAUCAAAAUAAAAUGUUUUUCGUGUUUUCAUAAUUAAAAAAACAAUGAUUUGAAAGUAGAAUCAUAAAAAAUGAGAAAUAAAAUUAUGUCCCUUCUUCUGUCGGCUAUGCUGCGUACUUAUGUUUCCUUUAUGGGUUGUUUUGCAAUCAGGGAAUAUCAAUUAAAAAAUGCUCUCUGUGCAUCAUAAAAAGUAAUGUUAUUGUAAUCCCAAAUCUACGAUGGCAAGUUAUAUGACACUUUGAUAGUAGACUGCGAAGAAGAAAAAUAUUGGACUACACAUUCAUUAUUAAAAAUUGACCAUAAUUUAGUGUCUUAUUUCUUUCCAUUUUUUUUUUAAUUUCGAGCCCGCGCAUGUAUUAUGCAGCCUUGUGCAUCGUCUCACCAAUUAUAAUUGAUUAUUGAAAUUGUUUAAAUUUCUAAAUUCUUAAAAGCUUCAGACAGUUUUUAUUUUAGGGAAAAAUUACUUGAUUGAUAAUGUCUUUGUCUAUACUUGUGUAGUAAUAUGCAAAACUCUUAUAGACGGUUCACUUUGCUCACUUCCGCUUAUUUUUUUUCAGACGUUUCUCGUCAAACUCAAAGCUACAUUUUUGUCAAAUUAGACAGCUGAUCGAGUUUACCCUGAUUGUAUAACAGCCGAUAAUCAUGAUAAAAGCUGUCAGAACAAUACUUCGAUGUUGAAUGCUCCAUGUGAAAUGUCAAACGUUGUCUGUUGAUCAAAUGAUGGUUUAUAACAUUGUGGUGUGGAUCCUUGUUAAAUAUUGGCGGCGGAAGCCAACAAACUUAGGGGGGGGGGGUCCACCUGAAAUUUUGGGAUGAACGCGGGUAAAAAUUGGACAAGCAGAAAUUUUAGGGUGGGGGGGGGGGGGGGUCCGCCCCCACCUCAAAUUGAGGGGGGGGGGACAGGACCCCCUCCCCCGCUUCCGCCUAUGUUGUAAAACUGUCCUAAUCUCAAAGCAAUGACCUGUCUGUAUAGAACUGGUCAUAAGAACAAGUCAUAAGCAAAUUUUCAUGUUUGCUAAAACAAAUGAUUGGUCACGUUAUCGAUUUCAUCCAAUCAUUUGUUUGGGAUCCAUAUCACCAUUUUAUAAACAUAAGUAAAUGAUUGUUACACCCUUCUUCUGGCUACUUGUAUUUAUUCUUGUAUCGGUAACUCCCUCGCCUCCCCCCCCCCCCGCCCCGGUCCAUCCCUCCCUGCUCUCUCUCCCUCUCUCUCUCUCUCUCUCCCUUCAUAUUUUUUUGCAUUUCCAUCACUUAACUUUAUAAUUUAUCAUAUUCUUCUAUAUUGCUCAAUGUUUCUUUUGAAUCAUUCAUUCUAUCUGAUAUAUGAAUUUCAAAUUCAUUCUUUAUCAUUUUAUUCUUUCAAGAAUGACAAAAUAGUCCUUAAUCCACUACCCCUUCACAUCCGGUUAUCUCGAACGUUCUCUUUCAAUUCUCCUUUCCAUUCUUGUUCAUAGCGGAUUUUGCAAUUCAUCUUCAGCAACCUUUCACCUCCUCUCACCUUACCUCAAACUGUUCUUACCCGAUUGAUGUUGGUCUGUAACUCUGGCUCCAUCACAUCCACCUUUACCGAUGGCUCUUUCAUCCUUGUCAAACGAUCUCAUCAUCCCUUCCAUCUCAAAUGACAACCCUUUCUCUUUCCCUCCCUUUCAUUAACCUCCCUCCCAGCUCUCUCACAUACUCACAAUCACAUCCAGCUUUACUAACGGUUUUUUCAUCCUUGUCCAACGCUCUCACCAUCCCUUCUACCUUCUCAACAAGACAACCCCUUUCUUUUUCCCAACUCCUCAUUCUAUCACCCUUUAUUUCUGUUCCCCCUUCUUCCCUUCUCUCUCCCGCCUUACCCUUGGAUGUGGGGGAAAAGAGUGAACUUCAGUAAAUGCAAAUGCGAAUAAAGUUGAUCAAACAAUUACUUCAGCAAAGAAAAAAAACCUUCCAAUUAUCUUCAGAAGCAAAACUUUGUGACAGAAACACUCAAAAACUUUAUUCAAACUAGAUAUAUAUCUGUUAGUACUGCCAAUUUAAAGUAAAAGGCCUAUUUAUUCUUGUUUUUUAAAUUCUAUAUGUUAUCCAUGUACUGCGUCUCUUCAAAAUGAAUUAUUCAAGAAUACAAAUUAAAUGUGUGACAAACUAUACACUUUGUCAGUAAUCUUCUAAUUAAAAAAAAAACAAAAUCGAAAUCAUUUCCACAAAACUAAAUUUUAUGAAGUUCACUUUUUGAAAAUGAAAAAAAUAUCCCGCCUUAGUUUUAACUGAAACUACUCUGAAUGUUGCAAAAUGGGUCAAUAACCGCUGUGCCAUUAAUUCCUAUUUUGGAUCAUGGAAACACUUUGAAAGAAGCUACCAGUAAAUGAAAAUUACUAAUUUGGUGGAUAUUGUAAUAUUUUAUCUCACAAAUACAGCCAAGGAAUAGUUGCCAUGGUAUAAUAUUUCAAAAGGAGGAAAAGUUUGGCCCUAACUAUCGAUCCAUUUUGCAACAUUUUAUCCAGAGUCCUAAAUAUGGGAUGGGGUGGGGGUUCGAUGAGUCAUUGAGACUUGCACAUCAAUGGAAAGUAUUAUUAGAACAUAAAAAUUACCAAUUCAGUAAAAAGGGUGGCAAAAAUGCCGUUGAAAAGGAGUAAGUUUUCCAAACUUGUCGGCAAGAGGAUUUUUUAUAAUAAUGUCCACUUUUCGAAGGGGGGGGGGGUGUUUUUUUAAUUAAUGUGCAAAUCUCAAUGGGGAUUAUCCUCACCUGCUGCAAGCCAAAACAUGACAUAACCUUCAAAGUACACAUGUACUGUACACGCUGAAAUUGUUUAAUACAUUCAAGCAUUUUCAACAAUUUAUUAAGUCGCAAAUUUGCCAAUUAUACGGCGCAAAAAAGGUAAUCCAAAUGUGAGGGCUGAUUAUUAAUGAAAUUAAUGAAAAAAUAUUCAAAAACAAAUAAAUUCUACUGACACUGCACAUUUGUCACUGAAUAUUGAAGUGACUCGACUAUAAAGGGCGUGUGUGAAAGUUUUAUCUUGACCUUGUCAAAAUUUGGAAAUGAUGGAAAUUGUGCAGUGAUUAACGUCGGCCCCACUAUAUUUGGAUCACCUACUACACGUACAAUGCCUAUUAGAAACCUUAAAAACUACAGAUUCCAGAAACGAUGUCGGCUUUGGCUUGCAGGAGGGGCGGGGCCACUAGCGUAAAUGCUUGCGUCGCACCUAUUAUUCCGGGGGGGGGGGGGGUGUAACAAUAGAUCAUCCCCCCAGAACAAUAGGUGCAACACAAGAAUUUACGCUAGUAGGCGGGGAGAUCACAACGGGUGUGUGUUUCAUAAAGCUGUUCGAAGAGCAACUUUUAGAACGAGUGGUGAUCCUUUCUUGUGGUAAAUGGUAUAUUCAUUGGUGGUUAAGUGCAUAAGAAAGGAUCACCAGUCGUUCUUAAAGUCGCUCUUAACUUAUGAACAGCUUCAUGAAACGGCCCCCAGGUGUGUGUUUCUUGAAGCUGUUCUGAAGUCGAGAGCAACUUUAAGAACGACUGGUGAUCCUUUCUUGUGGUAAAUGGUAUAUUCACUGACGAUGGUUAAGUGUGUAAGAAAGGAUCACCAGUCGUUCUUAAAGUCGCUCUUAACUUACGAACAGCUUUAUGAAAUGGCCCCCAGAUAUCAAAAGCGCAGGGGAGAUGACAGUAGAUAAAAGGGGUGUGGAUAUCGCAUCAGAUGAUAAAAGGGGGCAGGGAGAUUGCAAUAACUUAAGGGGUGGGGCAAGUCCUUUUCUGAGCUACACUUCACAGAUACUCCAUGUGCACAAAUACAAAUGAAAAGCAAGAAUUGUUUUCAUUUUCCAAAUGGUUUAUUCAAAUAGUUUUUAAAAAAAUUGAUUAAAAAAAAAUGACCAGCAGCCAAGAAGAUCCAUCCAAGUUAGGAGGUUACCAUAGCAACUGACCUUGAUUUGAAGGAGCAAGCCCUAACCCUCACAAAAUGGCCACCAGUCUGAGCUGGGGUCUCCUUGUCAAACUCACACAAAACAUGACAUCACCACCGAUUGUCCUAUUUUUAAGUGUGCAGGGUGGGGCACUGGACACUGCCGUACAUGACAUACCACAUCCUUAAUGUAGGUGCUCUAUUGACAACUUCGAUGAUACUUUGUGCAGCCAAGUGCAUGAGAGACAAUGCAUUGAUUUUCUAACUCCUCCCCCGUACUCCCCACCCCUUCUCUUUCUUGCCAUAUGAAUCAAAUUGUUAAUCUCCUUUGUUUUUAUUCACCCUAGAACAAAGCCAUCUAAUUUUCUUUCAUCUGCCCCCCUCCUAUCUCCCCCUCUUCUUUCUACAGGUUUACCAGUUUAUCCACUGAUUGUGGUAUCUCCAUACCUCCCUGUGCUAUCCAUCUCAGGGAGUGUUUCACAUAGAUUUCUGUCAGUGACUUUCACCAUCAGAUGUUAUAAGCUACUGAAAAUUCUUGCAUCUGAUUGGCUGAGAGCUAAUUAGUGAAAAUCACUGACAAACCCUCCAUGAAAUGCUCCCCAUUCCUGCCAACCUACCUUCGUUUCACACUAUAUCAACAUUUACACACAUGACUGAUAUCUAAAAUGUUCUAAAUAAUUUCAUUAAACCGUAUUGUUUGUCCAAAUAUUUUUCAUUUUCAAUAAAUGUAUCAUUGCAUAUUUUUUUUUAUUAUUUUUUUUUCAUUUCAAUCUAUUUUGUAUUUAUCUAUUUUAUUUAUUAUUAUUAUCAUUAUUAAUAUUUUUUAUUUAUCUACUUAUUUAUCUAUUUACUUGUUUUUUUUUUUUUUUUUUUUGGGGGGGCUAUUAUUUUCAGAUAAGCAGCAUCCUGAGAAAUUUGGGAGUAUUAGAACAAUUUUGCAAAUAAAUGCACCGUUUUUCUGUACAUAAUACAGUUGUUUAUAUGAACUUCAAUGAACACUGCAUUUUUGGUUGAUUUUUAGAAAUAAACCAAUAGGGAAAACAAACAUCUGAUGUUUUUUUCUUUUGUUUUGUUUUGCUUUCUUUGUUUUCAUUGUUUCCCCUUCAUUUAUUCACCACCAUACCAGAACCAAAUGGUUUGCGUAUGCAUCCAUCACUUCUUCCACAGAAAUUUUGAGAGAUAGAGCUAUUGCAUUCAGAAUGAUAAGAUAUUGUGAAUCUAGAUCUAACAGGUUGAACCCUCAAGAUAGACUCGUCCUGAGGAAGUGCACUUUAUAUCCCACAAUGCACCCUCAAUCAUCACAGUACAAUGCAUGUUCCCUAGUAGUGAAGUGCAAUGUCAAAUUUAUGAGACGGCAUCCAAUAAAUGUCCAUAACUCCUUCCAGAAUGAAUGUAGGAAACACUCUUUUCAGUCGAAAGAUGAGUAAGAAGAAAUUUCAGAAGCAGCACCAGACAAAGAUUUCCACACCUCCUUUCAGACUUGACGUAGGAAUCUACUUCUUUAGGCAAAAGUGAAAGACAACUGUAACAAUCUUCCAGAAGGAAUGUCAAAUUUCAAGGACAGCACCUAAUAGAAUUUCCAAAACUCGUACCAGACCGAUGUCGGAAACCAUUGUAACAAUCCAGUAGAAGCCUUUCAAUUACACCUCAUCAAAACUGGGUUAUGCUAGAGGGCCCCUGCGUCCUUGCCAUAAUUAUCGAUCCAUGUGAGAAUGUUGCCGAGGCUAUUCAAGGUACGACAAUCCAAUACAAUAACAUGGUCAAGUCUCGAAGACUCAUUCGCCCUAACUUAAUCAUUAUAAUCAUAAUGGCACCAAGUGCGGAUGCUGAUGAGGCUCUUCAAGGAAUUACAAGCAUCAUUCAUUGAUCACCAUGGUCAGAACUCUCGGGUCUUGAAGAGAUAUCCCAGUCUGGCUCCUUACCGUAGGCAAUGUCACAAUCCUUUACAAUUAGGUUUGUCUAAUCAGCUCUGGUUUGGACUGAAUAAAUUUUUCAAAGCACAGGAGAUAAUGUACAUUUGAAAGAGGACCGGAUGGGUGUUUCAUAAAGCUGUUCAUAAAUUAAGAGCGUCUUUAAGAAUGACUGGAGAUCCUUUCUUGUGGGAAAUAUGCACCAUUCAAUAUUCAUUGGUGAUAUAAGCGUGUAAGAAAUGUUAGCCAGUCAUUCUUAAAGUCGCUCUUAACUUACGAACCGCUUUAUGAAACAUCCUGCAGAUCAACCAAGUCAGAUAUGCCAAGUUCUAUCAAAUACCUCAACAAAUACAGCAACCCAUUUUUAAUUCAGCCAAGUGAAUAAAUGCAACUCUCAUUCCCUGGGGAAAAAACUACUGGGCGAUGCAAUGAUUAAACAAAGAUGGAAAGAAUGGAAAAUGGAGAAUUCAGGGGCCCGUUUCAUAAAGGACUUGCAACUGUUGUAACUUUGCCAUAAUGGCAUCUACCAUGGUAACUGGGCUCAGCAGCCAAUCAGAAUCAAGGUUACCAUGGUAGUUGCCAUAAUGACAAAGUUACCACAGCUGCAAGUCCUUUAUGAAACGGGUCCAAGAAUGUUGAGAAUCUGGUGGAUCACUGCCUCACCCACAGACUGAAAUGUGGAUGAAUUCCAGAGUCUAGAUGGCAAUCAGCAGAUAGCAAGAGCCAUGCAGAUCAAAAUGCUGUAACGUUUACCAAACGAUGCAAGGAAUAUCAUUUAGACCACCUGUAAAGCACCAUGUAUUUUAGUAAAACAAUCAAAGGCACAGACCCCUCAUCAGAUGUCACCAUUUGAAUUACUAACUGAUAAUAUGCAACUUGCAUGAUGUUUUGAAGAGCAAUGGAUACCAACAAAUAGGCUGAAAAACACUAAUCCUCUUGGUCAGAGAAUACCUUAGGAUUACCUCAACAUCAGACAUUCAAACACCAAAUACAAAAAUAUCACAUGCAAUUGAAACAUUACUCCGGAAGUCAGCAGACCUCUCUUCAAACAUAGGUCAACAGUUCCUCUCUUUGCUUGUUUGUAGUGCAAACCGAUUCUUGAUGGACCUUGAUUACUGCGACGAAGCUCAACGCCGUCUUAGCUAAACUGCUCCAUCCAAUAUAUAUGACAAAUGUGCAAAAGGCCCAACACAAAUGGUCAACUAGAAACACUAGAGCAGUCAAGGCUUGAAAAGUACAUAGCAAAUGCUGGCAAGAUAGACAUAAAAUUUGACAUUGCACUUCUAAAACUAGAUUCCAGUUUUACUUGUCUUGUAGUGAUUGGAGGCGAAGUUGUGGAAAACCAUUGAAGCACACAAUCCCCAUAAAAAGGUUUGACUUUUUAUCCAAAGUUUAGUAUAAAAGACAAAAGGUUUGUCUUUAUGUUUUAUUGUUUUUGUCUUUUUGUUUUUUUUGCAGACGAACCGAUAUUGAGAAGCCACCUUCAUCACAAUAUCAUUAUCAUCCAACACAGGUCUGGCUAGAUCUCUCGCAUUCUGUGUUUACAUCAUGGAUACACACUCAGCAUUUUUGAAAAAAAAAAUUAGGUUCAUGGUGAAUGGGGAUUGGACCAAACAUUUAGAAAAAAUAAUUCCAAUUGGUCCGUCCAAAAAAACAAUAGGUACAGAAAAGGGGAUUUGAUUGCAAAAUAAUUCACGCUGCUCUAUCAUGUCUAGGCAACUAAUAAAAAAAUGAUAUCAUAGUCUGUAAACAUAUAUAAAUUUCCUUUUAAAUUAUUUCUUUGUCAUAUUAGCAAAUUAUUAUAUCAGUCAUGGCAGAUGUUAUGUUGCAACAGUGUGAAACAAAGAUGAAUUUAGAACAGCAGCUAGAGCAGAUAGUGCUGAGAGGUAUAUGAAGAAAGACGGCAAUCAAUGGAUCAACAGAUAAUGCAAGUAUUACAUUGUAGAAGAGGAGAGGGGAAAGUUAAACACGAGGGGAGGAGAGCAAUUGGGAGUUUUUUAAGUCCCUACAAAUUCAUCAAAAUUGCUUUCAGGGAUGGUAUCGUUUUGAUAGAUUUUCAUGAAAAGAAUAUCAUUCCAAAGAUUAAAGAGAACGUCGUGAAUUUGAAAAGUGCGAUCAAGGCUUAAUGUAAAUAAAAGCCCAGUGUGGGUAAUAAUGCUGCCCAAUAUUUUCCAAACUAAUGAAUAUCUUCAGUAAUAACUGCUGGAAAAUCAUGUACAUUGUCUCCCAUACUUUCGGCUACACAAAAUAUCAUUGAAAUCAUCAAUAGAGCACUUACAUUAUGGAAGCUGUAUGCCAUGCACAGCAGUGUCAAGUGCCCUCCUCUGCACGCUGAAAAAUAGAACUCUUGGUAGUGACAUCACAUAUUGUGUGAUUCUGACAAGAAGAUCCCGGCUUAAACCAGACAGGAAGCCAUGUUUGUGAGGUGUCGGGCCUACCACCAUCAAUCAAUGAGGUCAGCUGCUACGGUCCUCCAACUUGAACGAAACUUCUUGGCUGCUGGUCUUACAGUUUUGUUCAAGAAAGAAAGGUAAAAUCCUGAAUGCAAAGCAAGUAGUACAGACAAUCAUACACUGUAAGGCAGGUCCAAGCUAUCUGACAUUACAUCCGACAAACGAGACAAAUCACAGAGGUGUUUCACAAAGAUGAAAGUAUGACUACAAAUUGUUUUUGAAUAUUCACUUGUUUGGAAAAUGAAAUACAAAAACUUCAUUGGUUGGAUCAUGCUCAGAGAACGAGCUCUUCUGUGUAUGAAUCAAUGAAGCUCCACAUUACAUACAGUAUCAUGUGCAUGUUAACAUGAUAGCACAACUUUGAGACUGAUUUCAGCUACUUGUGAAACACUUCUGGGAAUUGUCUCGAUAGUGCCAUAUACAGAACUGCUAACCUACAUUGUGAAAAAAUCCUAUUAUUUAUUCAUUUUUAUCUUAUCGUCAAGCCUACAAUCUUAUUUUUCUUUAAACUUUUGAGAAAACAAAGCAUACUCAAAACUAUCAAGUUUCAAAAAUCGUAUUUCUAGGGGGAAAACCUUAUUUAGUGUCGAUUUCCCCUUAAAAAUCCUACUAAUUGGCAACUCUGCAUAUACUUUUCUAAAACAAUCUAAUGAUUUAUAUUAAAGUACUUCCUAAACAGGCCUAAAUACUCUUGGACCUUUUACUUAACAAAGAGAAAAGCAAAUAACAGGCACCAUAUAUUAAUGGGAACAUGGAUCAUUGACUUCAUGCAAUCAAAUGUUAUAGCCCCGCCACUGCCAGACCGAGAAUAUAUUGCAAACCUAACCUAAUUUUAGAAUAAUGACCUAUGUGACAUUUAACCCUGAUGUGCAGGGGAGUGAAAAUUUUGUGUUGAAAAAUUCUACGACAAGUAGGUCCAGGGUAAAAAACCAGAGAUAAAACUCAAAAGGCAAAAACUCUGGAAAACCUUUGGAUCCACUUUUGCAGACUAGUCAACACAAAAUAAUCACAAAUCACAACUUCGCUGAGAGAAAAUUACAAACUAACAUAAAGCCUGUUUUUAGUCUUGGUAAAUCCACCAAAAUGUCACUAUGGUAAUUGCAAUUCAUCACGAGGCUAUAUGAAUGUGUAUGCCCUAAAAUUUUCAGAUGUGGAGGCUAUUGAUAAAAAUUGCCAAUUUACAUGUACAUGACAAUGCAUUUUGAUUGGGUGCCCGGUCAAAAUAAACUGAGGUUUUUAUAUUUGUUAACCUAUUUGAAAGCAUGGAUUGGACUGAAGAUUUUAGGACAUAAUCUUUGCGACUGUAGCUCCUUUUGUAAUACUAAAUAUUCAAAGAGCCCUUUUAUAGGAACACAAAAUAUCACUGAUAGAGGGCACUAGACAUGUUUGGUUUGAAUAUUCAAAUUGUCUGAGAAUUGGGGGUUAAAAAAAAAAAUUAAUCAGCUACUUCAAAGUCUUACAAUCAAAAUGUAGGAUGAUCAAGUAUAAUUCACAUUUUUUAGCCUUUUCAAAAACUGAAGACAGGCUUUUUAAACCACAAAUACUCAGCCUAAUUCUAGAAAUGAUCAUAAUUCAAAGCCCUCAAAAUAAUUGCAAAUCAUUUCUAACCAAUGCACAACUUAUUGACUCCGAGUAACCAUGCCUAACAGAGUUUGCAUCUACUAAUGAAAUAACUGAUAAUUCAGAUGUUUUAACUGUAAGCAAAGAGAAAAUAGCUUGGACCUGCUCCUGCUACACAAAAGUCUACAUAAAAAAUAUAAAAUGGGUUCAUGAGUAGCAAAUGCGCAUUAAGUCCCAUAUUGGAUAAAA